CGCGCAGGCGGUCGAAUAAGUCGAAUGUGAAAGCCCCCGGCUCAACUGGGGAGGGUCAUUCGAUACUGUUCGACUUGAAGGUAGGAGAGAGAAGCAGAAUUCCCGGUGUAGUGGUGAAAUGCGUAGAUAUCGGGAGGAAUACCAGUGGCGAAGGCGGCUUCUUGGCCUAUUCUUGACGCUGAGGCGCGAAAGCUGGGGGGAGCAAACGG
rnacentral:rRNA from 1 species